GAUGAAGAACGUAGCGAAAUGCGAUAAGUAAUGUGAAUUGCAGAAUUCAGUGAAUCAUCGAAUCUUUGAACGCACAUUGCGCCCGCUGGUAUUCCGGCGGGCAUGCCUGUUCGAGCGUCAUUUCAACCCUCAAGCUCUCCGGAGUUUGGUGUUGGGGCGCCUGGGGCUUUUCGACCUCAGGGCCCUCAAGUCCAUCGGCGGGACCGCCAGGACACUGAGCGCAGUAGUAUUAUUUCGCUCGGUAGGAUCUUCCACGGCGGGUCGAUCUGGCCGCUAAACCCCCCAAUUCUCACCAAAGGUUGACCUCGGAUCAGGAAGGAAUACCCGCUGAACUUAAGCAUAUCAAUAAGCGGAGGA
rnacentral:misc_RNA from 1 species